rnacentral:rRNA from 1 species
UCCCUAUGGGGUGCAGCAGGCGCGAAAACUUUACAAUGCGGGAAACCGCGAUAAGGGGAUACUGAGUGCCAGCAUCUUAUGUUGGCUGUCCACCUGUAUAAACAGCAGGUGUUAGCAAGGGCCGGGCAAGACCGGUGCCAGCCGCCGCGGUAACACCGGCGGCCCGAGUGGUGACCACUAUUAUUGGGUCUAAAGGGUCCGUAGCCGGCUUGAUCAGUCUUCCGGGAAAUCUGACAGCUCAACUGUUAGGCUUCCGGGGGAUACUGUCAGACUUGGGACCGGGAGAGGUAGGAGGUACUACAGGGGUAGGAGUGAAAUCUUGUAAUCCUUGUGGGACCACCAGUGGCGAAGGCGUCUUACCAGAACGGGUCCGACGGUGAGGGACGAGAGCUGGGGGCACGAACCGGAUUAGAUACCCGGGUAGUCCCAGCUGUAAACGAUGCUCGCUAGGUGUCUGGGACGGUGCGACCGUUUCAGGUGCCGCAGGGAAGCCGUGAAGCGAGCCACCUGGGAAGUACGGCCGCAAGGCUGAAACUUAAAGGAAUUGGCGGGGGAGCACUACAACGGGUGGAGCCUGCGGUUUAAUUGGAUUCAACGCCGGAA